GCUUGGCUGGUGGAAUUGGUAGACACGCAGGUCUCAGAAGCCUGUGGGGCAACCCGUGGGAGUUCAAGUCUCCCGCCGAGCA
rnacentral:tRNA from 1 species